GUGGUUGCCUUGGCUGCACAUAUACUAAGAUUGGAACAACGCAGCAAAGAUUAACAUGGAACCUAAGCAAGGAUUAUAGGCAAAUUCAUGAAUUGUUCCAUGUUUUU
ensembl:snRNA U6 U6 spliceosomal RNA